GACGAACGCUGGCGGCGUGCUUAGCACAUGCAAGUCGAACGAAGAGCGAUGGAAGCUUGCUUCUCUCAAUCUUAGUGGCGAACGGGUGAGUAACGCGUAAUCAACCUGCCCUUCAGAGGGGGACAACAGUUGGAAACGACUGCUAAUACCGCAUACGAUCUAAUCUCGGCAUCGAGGAUAGAUGAAAGGUGGCCUCUACAUGUAAGCUAUCACUGAAGGAGGGGAUUGCGUCUGAUUAGCUAGUUGGAGGGGUAACGGCCCACCAAGGCGAUGAUCAGUAGCCGGUCUGAGAGGAUGAACGGCCACAUUGGGACUGAGACACGGCCCAGACUCCUACGGGAGGCAGCAGUGGGGAAUCUUCCGCAAUGGACGAAAGUCUGACGGAGCAACGCCGCGUGAGUGAUGACGGCCUUCGGGUUGUAAAGCUCUGUUAAUCGGGACGAAAGGCCUUCUUGCGAAUAGUGAGAAGGAUUGACGGUACCGGAAUAGAAAGCCACGGCUAACUACGUG
rnacentral:rRNA from 1 species